GGCGUGACGCAGGAGGAUAGUGUGUGCUAGCUAUUGGAUGCUAGUCUAAGCGUUUAGGCAGUGAGAGUAGGCAAAUCCGCUCUCAUAAUGCUGAGGCGUGAUGGGGAAGGUUCUACGGAACCGAAGUACAUGAUUCCACGCUGCCAAGAAAAGCGUCUAGAGAGAGAAGUAGUGCCCGUACCGCAAACCGACACAGGUAGGUGAGGAGAGAAUCCUAAGGCCGGCGGAAGAAUUACAGUUAAGGAACUCGGCAAAUUGACCCCGUAAGUUCGCGAGAAGGGGUGCCUACGAGAGUAGGCCGCAGAGAAUAGGCCCAAGCAACUGUUUAGCAAAAACACAGGUCUCUGCUAAAGCGUAAGCUGAUGUAUAGGGGCUGACGCCUGCCCGGUGCUGGAAGGUUAAGGGGAACACUUAGCGCAAGCGAAGGUGUGAACUUAAGCCCCAGUAAACGGCGGCCGUAACUAUAACGGUCCUAAGGUAGCGAAAUUCCUUGUCAGGUAAGUUCUGACCCGCACGAAUGGCGUAAUGACUUGGGCACUGUCUCAACUGUAAAUCCGGCGAAGUUGUAG
rnacentral:rRNA from 1 species